GAAAAUAAUUUUUUUAAAAUUCUGCAACCAAAGUUUCAAAAUUUAAAGGUUUGAGGUUCUAGGGGGCCACUCCUCAAACUCCCCUUUUCAAAAAAAUUGGGAAAUUAGAAAAAAAGUUUGCUUUGAAUGAUUAACAAUACUUUGUUUCCCAUUUUUCAUGCUAACACUAUUUUACAGAGACACAGUUUACACAGACUCAUGCACAUGUCUCCAGUGCACAGCUCCAGGAAUGCUAACACACGUACUCACCGUCUGCCACCACUGCCCAGCUCAGGAGGAUAAUGCGACACUAAUACUUCCAUUGGCUUCAAGACGAGAAAUACAAAUUCCUUGUGCUCGGCAAUGUCUAUUAUUGGUGCCCUCAUCCACCCUCAGUCUAAGGGGACCAAGUGUUCAGUGUUGGAUACAAAAAGGUCAUCUUACCAGUGGAUGAGCAAUAGUGCAAUGGACUGAAGGAGGAUGAUGUCAAUCUAAUGCCGAAGUCGCUUUGGUUAAUACAUGAUUUCUGCCAAGCAAAGGAAGCAGAAUUAGCAGGAACAGAGUUAUAAUCAGCAGCAGGAAAGGAAAAUACCCUCAGCCUGACAGUUGCACAAGCCGGAGCCUUUUAAUCUGCACUUCAAGAAAAUUAAAAACAGGUAUCUACUAAAGAACUGGUUUUUUUUUUAAUGAGAAUCUACACCCAAGCUUGCUUCUCCGUGUUCAGGACUCCAGUUCCACCUGCCCUGUCUCAGCACCACAAGCCUGCGCCUUCACACUAUCAUUUUUCAGAAUUUUGAGCCCUGAGACAGCCUGAAGCCACUGAUCUGCCUGCUGCCCCGGCAGUCCACGUUAGCCCUGAGAUUGACAUGGUGGUUUUGUUAGUGCUCUGGUUACCCGAUCACGUAGGUUUUUGAGGCUUUUGCCCCUAAAUUUAUUUUUCCUACAAAACUUGCUAUUCUUCAUGAGCACUUUUACAGAUUGAGAGGUUUUACAGGCUCUAGUACCUGGAGUUAUAACAGAAAGGCCUAUAGUCUCAUUCAGGUCAAUCUUUAAUCAUGUCAAAGUUUAAAUUGUCCGUCAGAGAGUUUCUCCCCUCUCAAAGUGAUUCCCAACUCGGGCCCCUGCCCUUCCCAAAAUGUUUGUAGGUUCAGAGGUAGCUUUUGUAUCCUAAUGACAGUGGGGAUGGACAAGGGCUUCUGAUCUCAUUCA
rnacentral:lncRNA from 1 species